rnacentral:tRNA from 1 species
UUAGUUGAAGCCAAAGAGAGGCAUCUUAAUGUUAAUAAGAUUAUUGAUUUUUUUUAUUCCAACUAAA